rnacentral:rRNA from 1 species
GAUCAAAUCAAGCGCGAGAAGGGCGUUUGGUGGAUGCCUUGGCAGUAAGAGGCGAUGAAGGACGUGAUAACCUGCGAUAAGCUUCGGGGAGCCGGUAAUAGGCUUUGAUCCGGAGAUUUCCGAAUGGGGCAACCCACCUGAUAUUCUGCUAUUUAUACUACGGCGUUGAGACUAUGCGAGGCUUGUCCUCAAGUGGCGCUCCGCGCGGUAGGACAAAAUAGGAGGGUAAACCAGGUACUAAUUACCUGAAUACAUAGGGUUUUUAGAGCAAACCCGGGGAACUGAAACAUCUAAGUACCCGGAGGAAAGGACAUCAAUUGAUACUCCCCUAGUAGCGGCGAGCGAACGGGGACCAGCCGAGCAGUGAUCGUGAGCAGAACCAUCUGGAAAGUUGGGCGAUAUGGGUGACAGCCCCGUAUGCUAAGCGAGAUCUGACGUAUUAAGUAGGGCGGGACACGUGAAAUCCUGUCUGAAGAUCGGGGGACCACCCUCGAAGGCUAAGUACUCCUUACUGACCGAUAGCGAACCAGUACCGUGAGGGAAAGGUGAAAAGCACCCCGACGAGGGGAGUGAAACAGUACCUGAAACCGAACGCCUACAAUCAGUCGGAGGCUCCUUGCGAGCUGACGGCGUACCUUUUGUAUAAUGGGUCAUCGACUUGGUCUAUCUAGCAAGCUUAAGCCGUUAGGUGUAGGCGCAGCGAAAGCGAGUCUUAAUAGGGCGCAUGAGUUAGGUGGAUCAGACCCGAAACCGAGUGAUCUAGGCAUGACCAGGAUGAAGGUACGGUAACACGUACUGGAGGUCCGAACCCACACCUGUUGAAAAAGGUCGGGAUGAGUUGUGCCUAGGGGUGAAAGGCCAAUCAAACUCGGAGAUAGCUGGUUCUCCGCGAAAUCUAUUUAGGUAGAGCGUCAUCCGAAUACCCCGGGGGGUAGAGCACUGGAUGGGUAAUGGGGCCCCACAGGCUUACUGAUCCUAACCAAACUCCGAAUACCCGGGAGUACUAGAUGGCAGACACACUGCGGGUGCUAACGCCCGUAGUGGAGAGGGAAACAACCCUGACCUCCAGCUAAGGCCCCUAAUUCAUGGCUAAGUGGGAAAGCAGGUGGGACGACCAAAACAACCAGGAGGUUGGCUUAGAAGCAGCCAUCCUUUAAAGAUAGCGUAACAGCUCACUGGUCUAAAUAAGUUGUCCUGCGGCGAAGAUGUAACGGGGCUCAAGCCAUGAGCCGAAGCUGAGGAUGCCGUAAGGCAUGGUAGCGGAGCGUAGUGUGAUAUAACACUUUAUCUGUUUUACCGCCCGUUGUGCAGGCAAGGAGGCAACUCCGCGCUCAAGCAGCGAAGCGGUAGCGCAGAUAACAGUGUUUACGUUGAAGCCGGGGCGUGAGCCAUCCGGUGGAGUGAUCACUAGUGAGAAUGAUGACAUGAGUAGCGACAAACAGGGUGAGAGACCCUGUCGCCGAAAGUCCAAGGGUUCCUGCUUAAAGCUAAUCUGAGCAGGGUAAGCCGGCCCCUAAGUCGAGGCAGAAAUGCGUAGACGAUGGGAACUAGGUUAAUAUUCCUAGGCCAGGAGGAUGUGACGGAUCGGAGACGUUGUUCGCCCUUAUCGGAUUGGGCGGGCCGCUAACCGGUUCCUGGAAAUAGCCCUCCAUCAGACCGUACCCUAAACCGACACAGGUGGACUGGUAGAGAAUACCAAGGCGCUUGAGAGAACCACAUUUAAGGAACUCGGCAAAAUACCUCCGUAAGUUCGCGAGAAGGAGGCCCGUUCAGAAGGCAACUUUUGGGCGGGGGCACAAACCAGGGGGUGGCGACUGUUUACUAAAAACACAGGGCUCUGCGAAGUCGCAAGACGACGUAUAGGGUCUGACGCCUGCCCGGUGCUGGAAGGUUAAAAGGAGGAGUGAGAGCUCCGAAUUGAAGCCCCAGUAAACGGCGGCCGUAACUAUAACGGUCCUAAGGUAGCGAAAUUCCUUGUCGGGUAAGUUCCG